rnacentral:rRNA from 1 species
UACGGGGGGGGCAAGCGUUGUUCGGAAUUACUGGGCGUAAAGGGCUCGUAGGCGGCCAACUAAGUCCGACGUGAAAUCCCAAGGCUUAACCUUGGAACUGCGUCGGAUACUGGAUGGCUUGAAUUCGGGAGAGGGAUGCAGAAUUCCAGGUGUAGCGGUGAAAUGCGUAGAUAUCUGGAGGAAUACCGGUGGCGAAGGCGGCAUCCUGGACCGACAUUGACGCUGAGGCGCGAAAGCCAGGGGAGCAAACGGG